GUGGGGUACCGGCCCUGUGGGUGCUGGGGGGCGCUGGCGGCGCCAGCCCUCCGGGGUCGCCGCCGACGCCCCGCUAGCGACUCCCGGGCCGCCACCGGCCGGCCUUCGGGGCAGGGCUCCAGCGACGCCUGUGAGGGCCGUAGAAGUCUUGUCAGGGAGGGAUCCGGGGGGUCCUGUGCCUGUGCCCGGCGUGUCCCCGCACCUCUGAGUGCUGGGGCAGAAAGCUCGACGGUGGAGAAGUGUGAAGGUGUGUGGCGGCCACAGACGAUGAGCAGCCAGCUCCCACUGCGUGAACGCAUCUUGUUAUGAAGCAGGAAGCCCAGACCUGAAUAAUAGGAAGGAACUCUUUCAUUAAGAGUUUUUGAUGAUAACUGUGUGACGCUGCUUUGGUUAAGCUGAAAUGUUACAACGUGUUAGAGAAAAUCCUGGAGGGAUGGAUAAAUAGUCAAAGCUACAUGUUGAAGCACUGAUGCUGUGGGCAGGCGCUGGGGAAGUCCGAGACUGGACUAACUGGCAAGCAAGAGCUUGAUUCAGGAGUUGGAUUCUUGAGCUGGAUUCAGGAACACACAGAUCAAAACCAAAAGCAGAACAGACAGAGUCCUCCUCAGAUGCCAGCCACUGAAGAAGAGAACUUGAUUCUCAUCAUCCCUUAGCUUUAUACUGACUAUGAGGAAUAUAUUCCCAAGUCUGUUUAAAAAAAGCAAAUGAGCUGCCCCUCCUUGCUUGCUUUGGACAAGAGAUUAAAGAGGUUACACCUCCCAUAAAACACCCUGGAUGACUGACACCAACUUGCUUUAUCUCUAUGAAGUAAGAAAUGGCUUUUACUUCUGAUUGGUGAGAAGCUGGCUCAGAAAAAGUCUAGGAGAUAAAGAGACCUUGUUCCCCCUCCUUUGUUUGCCACAGCCAUGUUGUGUGGCUCAGAGCAAAUUGCUUGUGUGCAUGGCUGACAUGUACUUCGGUCAGCGUGUUCAUGAAGGUGCAAGGUGUAAUUAGUGUUCAUCUAGGUGGCAUUCACCUCCAAUCACUUAUGCUUUAGUCAAGAAUGAGUAAAUUAUAUGCUGUGUGUAAUGUGUCAUAUUUUUAUUCCAAAGCAUAAUAUUAUUUUAUGAGCUGUGUUUUAUUACAGAGCACUGGGUAUGGAUUUAGUCCCACAUAUCUGGGAAAUGAGAAAUCAAAUUCUAUUGUUUGGGGAUCACUGGCCAUGAAAUAUUUACCUUUGGUGGCAUGUUUUAAAUAAAGAAAUACCAUCAAAAUUCAUAAUAUCCAGUGGAUCAAGCAGCACAUGCUUAUUAUAUAUAAUGUUAUAUCUAUUGUUUGGGAAUGUCUCGUGGAACCAACAGAGCUUUUUCUCACAGGUAGGAAGAGUCACGCAGCAAAAGGAGCCAUGUCAAAAUGCAUCCACUUACAGACUUGGAUAUUAGACAGAGCUGCAAAGUCAGUUACUGCCUAAGGCCUUCUUCCUGCCAGCAUUAGCUGUGGCUAUAAUGUGUGCCUCAGGAGUGCACUCCAGUUCUCUUAGUGCUUGUGCCCUGUCUACAUCCAGAAUUGGGAUGACAUAUGAAUUCCUACCAUUUAUUCAAGCUCUACCCUACCCAGUUUCCAUGCAGGGAAACUGUAUCCAGAAAGGGAGCAAUGAGAGAUUCUGUCAAGUCCACUCCUGUGGGAAUGCAAAGUGAAGAAGGAUAAUAACAGGCAGAUGCUGACCUUGGUUCCCACCAGCUGCUGGCUACCUUAUCUCAGAAAGGUUAGAUAACGGACACCUCAUUAAUGAGGAAAGCAAGGCAUGGUUUAUGCUGAUGGAGUGGCUUGGCCUUGACUAAUUAUGCUAAUGUGUGGGCAUGUGCCUUGUGGUCCUGAGGGUAUAUAUUGAG